UACGGAGGGUGCAAGCGUUGUUCGGAAUUACUGGGCGUAAAGGGCGCGUAGGCGGUUUUAUAAGUCAGAUGUGAAAGCCCACGGCUUAACUGUGGAAGUGCAUUUGAAACUGUGAGACUUGAGUACCAGAGGGGAAAGUGGAAUUCCCGGUGUAGAGGUGAAAUUCGUAGAUAUCGGGAGGAAUACCGGUGGCGAAGGCGACUUUCUGGCUGGAUACUGACGCUGAGGCGCGAAAGCGUGGGGAGCAAACAGG
rnacentral:rRNA from 1 species